rnacentral:pre_miRNA from 12 species
GCCUGAGAGGCUCAGGGCUUAGCUGUAUUGUGAGCACUGUUACUCUCGCACCUGUUCACAGUGGCUAAGUUCCGCCCCUCUC